GGGGAUGAAUUAGCAUCGACGACGUUCAUUUCCUUUCUUGGCAAGCCGAGGUUGCGUGUGACCUCGUACCCACUCAUACGCAUAUGACAACUGCCAACGUCAUGACCAAGGUCCGCUCCGCGAUCGCUUCGGCUUUCACGGUGCCUUCCUUUGCUCCGUCCUUCGCCUAAGACCUUCGUGUCCUAGUUCGAACUGACGAGCCGGCUCCCGUCGCGUGCGUCUCAAGCCGACGACGAGCUGCCAUUCAUUGAGACUUAUUCUUAGAUACCGUUCCACAUCUAAGAAGACACGGCCGGAACUUACUCAGAAGAAGGCGUUUAUCCCCGCUCUUCUGAGGACACUCCUGGAUAAACUAAGCUUGUGAACGACGAGUCAGGAUUGCCCGCUCGGACGGGGGUGCGAUACCCCCCAUCUCCACCA
rnacentral:tmRNA from 1 species